ACACAUGCAGGUCGAGGGGUAGAAUUAGCUUGCUAAUUUGAGACCGGCGCACGGGUGCGUAACGCGUAUGCAAUCUGCCUUGUACUGAGGGAUAGCCCAGAGAAAUUUGGAUUAAUACCUCAUAGCAUUAUGAAAUCGCAUGGUUUUAUAAUCAAAGUUCCAACGGUACAAGAUGAGCAUGCGUCCCAUUAGUUAGUUGGUAAGGUAACGGCUUACCAAGACGAUGAUGGGUAGGGGUCCUGAGAGGGAGAUCCCCCACACUGGUACUGAGACACGGACCAGACUCCUACGGGAGGCAGCAGUGAGGAAUAUUGGUCAAUGGGCGCAAGCCUGAACCAGCCAUGCCGCGUGCAGGAUGACGGUCCUAUGGAUUGUA
rnacentral:rRNA from 1 species